AUUCAGCUGACGAGUCACAAAUAGGACUAAACGUGCGUCUUGGAU
rfam:Schistosoma rodhaini strain Burundi genome assembly, scaffold: SROB_scaffold0002815